UAGCCUAGUCGUUAAGGCUAUGGAUCGCCAAUCCGGAGACAGCGGGUUCGAUUCCCGU
rnacentral:tRNA from 1 species